GAUCAUUACUGAAGAAAUGRUAGGGUUGAGCUGGCUUCUAGGAGUAUGUGCUUGCCCUAUCGGUUUUUCUACUCUCCACUGUGCACCUUUUUGUAGGCUAUGAUAACUCCUCAGUUCUCUUUGGACUGGAUAAAGAGACUUGCAAAUAGCUUGAUCUCACUUUCAUAGCCUAUGUUCAUAUACACACUCUGUAUCAAGUCUUUGAAUGUAAUCUUGUUGGUCUCUUUGAUGGACCGAUAAAACUUAUAAUACAACUUUCAGCAACGGAUCUCUUGGCUCUCGCAUCGAUGAAGAACGCAGCGAAAUGCGAUAAGUAAUGUGAAUUGCAGAAUUCAGUGAAUCAUCGAAUCUUUGAACGCACCUUGCACUCCUUGGUAUUCYGAGGAGUAUGCCUGUUUGAGUGUCAUUAACUUCUCAAACCUUUCAAGUUUAUUGGAAAGGCUUUGGAUGUGAGGGUUUUGCUGGUACACUUCUUGUAUAUGRAUCAGCUCCCUUGAAAUGCAUUAGUGGUUACUUGGUCCACUUUCAUCUGGUGUGAUAGUUAUCUACGCCUUUGAAAUGAUCACUUUGCUAUCCGCUUCUAACUAGUCUAUCUUUUAUAGACUCUUGACCAAUUUGACCUCAAAUCAGGUAGGACUACCCGCUGAACUUAAGCAUAUCAAUAAGCGGAGGAAAAGAAACUAACAAGGAUUCCCCUAGUAACUGCGAGUGAAGCGGGAAGAGCUCAAAUUUAAAAUCUGGCAGUCUUUUUGGCUGUCCGAGUUGUAAUUUAGAGAAGUGUUACCCGUGCUGGACCGUAUACAAGUCCUCUGGAAUGGGGYGUCAUAGAGGGUGAGAAUCCCGUCUUUGAUACGGACUACCAGUGCUUUGUGGUGCACUCUCGAAGAGUCGAGUUGUUUGGGAAUGCAGCUCAAAAUGGGUGGUAAAUUCCAUCUAAAGCUAAAUACAGGCGAGAGACCGAUAGCGAACAAGUACCGUGAGGGAAAGAUGAAAAGAACUUUGGAAAGAGAGUUAAACAGUACGUGAAAUUGCUGAAAGGGAAACGCUUGAAGUCAGUCGCRUUGUCUGAGAAUCAGCCUUGCUUCAUUUGCAUGGUGUACUUCUYAGUUGAUGGGUCAGCAUCAGUUUUGACUGCUGGAUAAAGUUCAAAGGAAUGUGGCAUCCUUGGAUGUGUUAUAGCCCUUGUUCGUAUACAGCAGUUGGGACUGAGGAACUCAGCACGCCGAAAGGCCGGGUUUUUAACCACGUACGUGCUUAGGAUGCUGGCAUAAUGGCUUUAAUCGACCC
rnacentral:misc_RNA from 1 species